AUGCCUACCCCCACAGCAAUGCUCUCCUCCACAGCAAUGCCUACCCCCACAGCCAUGCCCACCACCACAGCAAUGCCAGGAUCCUUGCAAACCAGUGUGCCCUGAACCUGUGCAGAAAUGUCCUCCUGUUCAAGAACCAUGCAAACCACAAUGUCCUCAGGACCAGCAGAAAUGUGUUAAGAAAUAAAGAAGCAAACUAGUUCUAUCUGUUGAUCCAAGAUACAAGCAUUACCUUAACUACUGUAUUUAUUGUGUAUUGACCAUCCAAUGGCUAAAACAAUAUACUGUACCAAUUGUUAUGGUGAAUGUACCAGUCAAUACCUGUUCCUUUUAUUGAGGCACAGUAUUUUAAAAAUUGAAUAAAAGUUGGUUUAACAAUU